GGUCGGCUCGGCAGUGCGGCUUGGCAGCGCGGUUGGACGACUCGACAUCCGAACAGUAUACCAAUUUCUAGGUUUUUGACCCUUCUGGAGCCAUUCCCACCCUUGUUUCAGCCAUCUGAGAAGGUAGUUAGGCGCCGGAGUUAGCAUUAUGGGUGACUUCGGCCAAGGCCAAGGAGGUAAGGGCAAGGCUCCCAUGUACGGCUGACGGUGGAUGCUGCGCAGGCCAUGAAAAUCUUGAGGAGAGUUUGUAGUGUCG